rnacentral:lncRNA from 1 species
CCGGCCCUGUUACCGCUCACAGCCCAUGACCUUCCUCUGGGCCCAGCCACUGUGAGCAGCUCUUAACAUCCCUUCACCCUCACGGGUUCCAGGCAGGAUUUGUCCCUCGGGGGAGCCAUUACGGCCCGCCCUAGCCCGAGUGGAUUUGGCCCAAUUCCUUCCUCUGGGAAUUAGGUCGCCUCCCCCACUGCUCGAACCCUUGACCUCCCACUUUAAGGGAAUAGUCUGGUGAGAGUGAGUACCAAUUGUUCCAUUG